UCCUAGUACGAGAGGACCGGAGUGGACGCAUCACUGGUGUUCGGGUUGUCAUGCCAAUGGCACUGCCCGGUAGCUAAAUGCGGAAGAGAUAAGUGCUGAAAGCAUCUAAGCACGAAACUUGCCCCGAGAUGAGUUCUCCCUGACCCUUUAAGGGUCCUGAAGGAACGUUGAAGACGACGACGUUGAUAGGCCGGGUGUGUAAGCGCAGCGAUGCGUUGAGCUAACCGGUACUAAUGAACCGUGAGGCUUAACCUU
rnacentral:rRNA from 1 species